CUUUAUGACCGUUCUUCGGUCCUGCAUUGGAUGAGUACAAUUUAAACCACUUAACGAGUAACAAUUGGAGGGCAAGUCUGGUGCCAGCAGCCGCGGUAAUUCCAGCUCCAAUAGCGUAUAUUAAAGUUGUUGCAGUUAAAAAGCUCGUAGUUGAAUUUCGGAGGAGAGUCCUUGGUCUAAGUUCGCUUAGUACUGAAAGGCUUGAAUCUUUUUUCUGGGGAAACGAAAGUGUCCUUAAUUGGGCGCUUCGAGGAACCAGGACGAUUACCUUGAGAAAAAUAGAGUGUUCAAAGCAGGCUUUAUAUGCUUGAAUACGUUAGCAUGGAAUAAUAAAAUAAGACUUUGGUUCUAUUUUGUUGGUUUUAAGGACCAAUGUCAUGAUGAAUAGGGACAGGUGGGGGCAUUCGUAUUCCGAAGCUAGAGG
rnacentral:rRNA from 1 species